AAACCAUCUUAUUUUAAUAGGAAUGAAGUCCACAUGAAUAUUACACACAGUCUCCUGUAACUCCCACCUUGCAACCUCAGACAACUCAGCUAAACACACCAUCAUCACCACUUCUCAGCCUGCCAGUGUGCUCAACUGUCUUCCCGAUUCUGAUGGGGAAGACCCAGCAAAAUGAGCAAUGGGAGUGGAGAACCACAACUUUCAUCUUGGACACGGAAGGUGUUUGAAGGACAAACAAAUAAAGCUACACAGAUGUCCCAGAAGAAUGUGGGAACCUGGAAAAAGGACCAUCCAUUCACUAGCCUGCUGUGAGUUCUACUUGUGGACUCUCUAGGGAAGGAAUAACAUCAGAAGAGAAUGAUGAAUUGGAAGAGCCAGACAGGGUUCCUGCAUUGCAAGCUCCAAAUUAACUGUACAGUGAACAGAUUUGCAAAGGAAAAACAACACACAUGGGAAAAGGGCCUUCUGUUUAUUUUUUCUUCUUAUUAAUUUACCACAACCACCGUCAAGUGUCCCAGUUUCUGUCUGGGAAGAGAGGCUGGCAGGGCCAGUAAUCAAAGAGCAGCUGGAAAACCCCAAGAAAUUAUGGAACCCUCAUAAAAGAAUCA